CUAAAACGAGGCACGGCAUACAGCUCAGUAACACGUGGCUAAUCUGCCCUUGGGAUAGGAACAACCCCGAGAAACUGGGGCUAAUUCCCAAUAGGCGAAGAACUCUGGAAUGAGUCUUCACCAGAAAUGAACCUACGUUAUGCUCGUAGAAUUCGCCCAAGGAUGAGGCCGCGACCGAUCAGGUUGUUGGUGAGGUAAUGGCUCACCAAGCCUUUUACCGGUGCGGGCCGUGAGAGCGGGAGCCCGGAGAUGGGCACUGAGACAAGGGCCCAGGCCCUACGGGGCGCAGCAGUCGCGAAAACUUUGCAAUAAGCGAAAGCUUGACAGGGCUAUCCCGAGUGCCAUCCGCUGAGGAAGGCUUUUACCCAGUCUAGAACGCUGGGGGAAUAAGGAGAGGGCAAGUCUGGUGUCAGCCGCCGCGGUAAUACCAGCUCUCCGAGUGGUGUGGAUGUUUAUUGGGCCUAAAGCAUCCGUAGCUGGCUAAGUUAGUCCCUUGUUAAAUCCACCGAAUUAAUCGUUGGAUUGCGGGGGAUACUGCUUGGCUAGGGGACGAGAGAGGCAGACGGUAUUUUCGGGGUAGGGGUGAAAUCCUAUAAUCCC
rnacentral:rRNA from 1 species